AAGGUAUGCGUUCGCGCAACUUUGGGUGAAGCAAUCUUAUUAAUAAUAAGGCGUGAUUAAUUGUGGAUACGUACGCGUGACACGAUUUUUGACGCGCCAAAUGAAAUGAGUACACGUACGCGUGACUCGUUUUUUAAAGAUAAUUCCAUAAUUAAUAGUAAUUGAGAAAAUAAAAGCGGUUAAGGGGGUAGAUGCACAUAGGUUUGAAAAUAAGUAAUUAGACAAUUUAGUAAGCCAAGUAUAAUCAAAGCGACCGUGCUAGAACCACGGAACUCGGGAGUGCCUAACACCUUUUCCCGGGUUAACAUAAUUUCUUACCCGAAUUUCUGUGUUCGCGGACCGAUAAUAGAGUCAAACUUCCUCGAUUCGGGAUUUUAAACCGGUGACUUGAGAGACCAUAAAUUAUCCCAAGUGGCGACUCUAAUCUUCAAAAUAAUUAAUCCCGUUUCGGUUAUUGUCACUUUAAUUUGAAAAAACUCCCUUAUAUCUCUUCCGUGGUAUAGGUAAAAAGGAGGUGUGACAACCACAUGCUAGAGAAAAACAAAAAAUAUUCUUUUAAGUAGGGACCACACACAUUCUUAUCUGGAUGGCUUUUUCUUGGCCAACACUGCUGCAUAUAUACACAUACACGCUGAUAUAUAGAGAGGAAGGGGGAAGAGGGGGCUGGAGAGGAAAAACGAAAGAGAGGGGACAGAUCUGGGGAACGAAAGGGCUGGGGAUCGCACAAAAACACAGAGCUAUCUUCUUCCUUUCCCAAGCACAAAAACACAAAGUUUCAACACCAUGUAAAUUCUCCAUAGCCUAUUACAUCCAUCUAUGAAAGAAGCUCCAUUGCUUCACCAUUAAACCAUCACAAAUAAGCCCCAAAAUCACCACAAAAACACCUCGUGUAAACCACUUGAAGCCAUCUUAAAUUCAAGUGAAACCUCGUUCUACAGUUCCGGCGGAAACAGAGGUGAGUGAACGACCAACUGCUGGUCAUUUUCGAGUCGAGCUGACGAGCUUUCCGUUAGCAGAUCCGAGGUGCCGAUUCGAGGUAUGUUGUUUUCUUCUUUAUCGUUUUGCUUGGAAGAUCAUGCUUGGUUAAAUUUUUGUAAUCUGUUAUGGGUGCUAAAUAUUUUGUCGUAGAAAUCAUUUUCACUUAGUUGGUCUCAUGUUGGUUACUUCAUUUUCUUGUUAAUCAUGAAAGUUGCAAACAUUAGUUGACUGCCAUUUUGUGGUGGUGAAGAUUUACUUGUGGUGCCUUUUUUGACCGGCACCAUUACAGCAAAAUUCACGUAUUGGCAUAUUCUUGUGGUUGGUGCCAAAAUUCCUGAAAUGUCCUGGUGAGACGUUGUUGAGAAACGUCGCCAAUUAGUUGUUUUUUCCUUUUCAUGGUAGAUACAUAGAAAAACUGUAUGUCACCAUCUGAUCUCGACCUGAGCAGCAAAAUUGAUGGUGAAUUUGAUAGUUGUGCUUUAUGAGAAAAUUUUAAGAUCUUUAAAUUUGAUUUGGUACAUUAAUUAGUGGUUGAUUUCGUGUUUGAUUCUAAAUAAAAUUGGCGAAAUCUAGUUAUUUUUGUCUAUUCACGUUAGAAUAUGUUGAGGCGUGUCGUGCCAAAUAAAAUCUCAAAAUGCGUGACCCUCAUUUAAUUAUUUCUUUUAAUCCUUAAAAAUCGAGGUGUGCCAUUUAGCGAAUUUUCAUGGCCCUCGCAAAUUUAAAAACGCGUAGUUGCUUUAGGCGCGUAAUUUAAAUUAAUUUCCUUAAACCCGGGUGUGCAUUUCAUGUGACCCAAAUCCAAAAUCUCCACAAUGUUAAAUAAAAUGUGUCUCGGACUGCGGGUGCAUUUCAUGUGGUGUGGUCCAAAGACGUGUUUUAGAUGACGUUGAAAUCUUCCUUAAAAAUAAUCAAAAGCGGCUAGUAAGUUAAAAAUGUACCAAAGGCUAAAACUUGUAUUAAAAUCAGAUAACAGG
rnacentral:lncRNA from 1 species